ACGUACGCUGGCGGCACGCCUUAUACAUGCAAGUCGAACGGAGUAGCAAUACUCAGUGGCAGACGGGUGAGUAACAUGUGGGUAUCUUCCCUUUGGUGAGGAAUAACACGAGGAAACUUGUGCUAAUACCUCAUAAGUCUUUACGGAGAAAGCUUUAUGCGCCAAUGGAUGAGCCCGCACUUGAUUAGUUUGUUGGUGGGGUAAUGGCCUACCAAGACUGUGAUCAAUAGCUGAUUUGAGAGGAUGAUCAGCCACAUUGGGACUGAGACACGGCCCAAACUCCUACGGGAGGCAGCAGUAGGGAAUCUUGCACAAUGGAGGAAACUCUGAUGCAGCGAUGCCGCGUGAGUGAAGAAGGCCUUUGGGUUGUAAAGCUCUUUCGUCGGGGAAGAAAAUGACUGUACCCGAAUAAGAAGGUCCGGCUAACUUCGUGCCAGCAGCCGCGGUAAUACGAAGGGACCUAGCGUAGUUCGGAAUUACUGGGCUUAAAGAGUUCGUAGGUGGUUAAAAAAGUUGGUGGUGAAAUCCCAGAGCUUAACUCUGGAACUGCCAUCAAAACUUUUUAGCUAGAGUAUGAUAGAGGAAAGCAGAAUUUCUAGUGUAGAGGUGAAAUUCGUAGAUAUUAGAAAGAAUACCGAUUGCGAAGGCAGCUUUCUGGAUCAUUACUGACGCUGAGGAACGAAAGCAUGGGUAGCGAAGAGGAUUAGAUACCCUCGUAGUCCAUGCCGUAAACGAUGUGUGUUAGAUGUUGGAAAUUUAUUUUCAGUAUCGCAGCGAAAGCAAUAAACACACCGCCUGGGGAGUACGACCGCAAGGUUAAAACUCAAAUGAAUUGACGGGGACCCGCACAAGUAGUGGAGCAUGUGGUUUAAUUCGAAGAUACGCGCAGAACCUUACCAACACUUGACAUGUUCGUCGCGACUCUAAGAGAUUAGAGUUUUCGGUUCGGCCGGACGAAACACAGGUGCUGCAUGGCUGUCGUCAGCUCGUGUCGUGAGAUGUUGGGUUAAGUCCCGCAACGAGCGCAACCCUUACUUUUAGUUGCCAUCAUUUAGUUGGGCACUCUGAAAGAACUGCCAGUGAUAAGCUGGAGGAAGGUGGGGAUGACGUCAAGUCCUCAUGGCCCUUAUGUGUUGGGCUACACACGUGCUACAAUGGUAUCUACAACAGGAAGCAAAAUGGCAACAUUAAGCAAAUCCCAAAAAGAUACCUCAGUUCGGAUUGCACUCUGCAACUCGAGUGCAUGAAGCUGGAAUUACUAGUAAUCGUGGAUCAGCGUGCCACGGUGAAUACGUUCCCGGGUCUUGUACACACCGCCCGUCACACCAUGGGAGUUGGUUCUACCUUAAGGCAAGGUUUAAUACCCUUGACCACGGUAUAGUCAGCGACUGGGGUG
rnacentral:rRNA from 1 species